UACGUAGGGUGCGAGCGUUAAUCGGAAUUACUGGGCGUAAAGCGUGCGCAGGCGGUUGUGCAAGACAGAUGUGAAAUCCCCGGGCUUAACCUGGGAAUUGCAUUUGUGACUGCACGGCUAGAGUGUGUCAGAGGGGGGGUAGAAUUCCACGUGUAGCAGUGAAAUGCGUAGAUAUGUGGAGGAACACCAAUGGCGAAGGCAGCUUGCUGGGCCUUUUUCUGACGCUGAGGUACGAAAGCGUGGGGAGCGAACAGG
rnacentral:rRNA from 1 species